AAAACUGUGUAUAUCUUAUUUUGAAAAUAAGAUGAAGAAAUUAAUAUUUCUCAGUUUUA
rnacentral:tRNA from 1 species